rnacentral:rRNA from 1 species
AACGAACGCUGGCGGCAUGCCUAACACAUGCAAGUCGAACGAGACCUUCGGGUCUAGUUGCGCACGUGUGCGUAACGCGUGGGAACCUGCCCUUAGGUUCGGAAUAACUCCCCGAAAGGGGUGCUAAUACCGGAUAAUGUCUUCGGACCAAAGAUUUAUCGCCUUUGGAUGGGCCCGCGUUGGAUUAGCUGGUUGGUAGGGUAAAAGCCUACCAAGGCGACGAUCCAUAGCUGGUCUGUGAGGAUGAUCAGCCACACUGGGACUGAGACACGGACCAGACUCCUACGGGAGGCAGCAGUGGGGAAUAUUGGACAACGGGCGAAAGCCUGAUCCAGCAAUGCCGCGUGAGUGAUGAAGGCCUUAGGGUUGUAAAGCUCUUUUACCCGGGAUGAUAAUGACAGUACCGGGAGAAUAAGCUCCGGCUAACUCCGUG